CAUUGUUAAAGGCAUUUAUUUUAAAUCCGAACUGAGAGACAGCAAUGGACAAUCAUAUUACAGGGACAGUUCAGUGAGUUGAUUGACAUCAAAAUCCUGAAAUUCUGGCUUUCAUGUCACUGAUUAACAUUAUUGCACUGUUUCUAGGGAUUGGCACUGAACUUAAAUUCAAGGAACAAUAUUAAAUGUCAAAAGAAUGGCUGAAGUAAAAAAAGAAAAAUAGCUCACAGUUUGACCAGAGAGCAGUUGGAAAAGGCUUGCAAAAUAAGGAGGAAAUUGAGUAGGCUGAUAGCUAUAGAGUGAAGAAGCAACACGCACUAAAGCUACGAGCCAAGGAAUAGCUAAGUACUCUAAAUUACUGAAAGAUGAAAGCAGUUUUUCACAGGAGCUAAGAAGACAGGAAAGCAUUCAGAACAGGUAAAUGGAGAAGAAAAACAGCAUAACAGAUAAACAACACAAAGCUGAAAAAGGACCUAAAAGGGACAGAGUGGAGCAGAGGAAAAUAACCUAAAGAGGGGGAUGAGAAGAGAGGAGGAGCAGAGGGAAAGAGAAGGACCUAAAAAGGGUAUGCAGAGGAGGACCUAGAGAGGAGCAGAGGGAAAGAGGAGGACCUAAAAAGGGGACGCAGAGGAGGACCUAGAGAGGAGCAGAGGGAAAGAGGAGGAUCUAAAGAGGGACAGAGAGAAAGAGGAGGACCUAAAGAGGGACAGAAAGGAGCAGGGGGAAAGAGGAGGACCUAAAGAGGGAUAGAGAGGGAAAGAGGAGGACCUGAAGAGGGUCAGAGGAGCAGAGGGAAAGAGGAUGACCUGAAGAGGGACAGAGGAGCAGAGGGAAAGAGGAGGACCUGAAGAGGGGCAGAGGAACAGAGGGAAAGAGGAUGACCUGAAGAGGGACAGAGGAGCAGAGGGAAAGAGGAGGACCUGAAGAGGGUCAGAGGAGCAGAGGGAAAGAGGAGGACCUGAAGAGGGACAGAGGAGCAGAGGGAAAGAGGAGGACCUGAAGAGGGACAGAGGAGCAGAGGGAAAGAGAU
ensembl:lncRNA